rnacentral:rRNA from 1 species
AACCUCCGCAAUGUGAGAAAUCGCGACGGGGGGAUCCCAAGUGCCAUUCUUAACGGGAUGGCUUUUCUUAAGUGUAAAAAGCUUUUGGAAUAAGAGCUGGGCAAGACCGGUGCCAGCCGCCGCGGUAACACCGGCAGCUCUAGUGGUAGCUGUUUUUAUUGGGCCUAAAGCGUUCGUAGCCGGUUUGAUAAGUCACUGGUGAAAUCCUGUAGCUUAACUGUGGGAAUUGCUGGUGAUACUGUUGAACUUGAGGUCGGGAGAGGUUAGCGGUACUCCCAGGGUAGAGGUGAAAUUCUGUAAUCCUGGGAGGACCACCUGUGGCGAAGGCGGCUAACUGGAACGAACCUGACGGUGAGGGACGAAAGCUAGGGGCGCGAACCGGAUUAGAUACCCGGGUAGUCCUAGCCGUAAACGAUGCGGACUUGGUGUUAGGAUGGCUUUGAGCCGCUCCGGUGCCGAAGGAGCUGUUAAGUCCGCCGCCUGGGAAGUACGGUCGCAAGACUGAAACUUAAAGGAAGU